rnacentral:lncRNA from 1 species
AUGGACCCUGGGUCCAAAGGCAGUAUUUAAAUUUUUUUGGUCAGUCAUCCUUAACAGGUGGAUAUCUGAGGAGCUGGUGACAUUGAUUAAGACACUUGCACAAUCCUGGACCACCAGACUCACCAUCCUGAGAGGAAGGACGGGAACCAUCUAGUGCAGAAGAAAUCUAGAGUCAGGAAGUUCAUUUUCCUGAAGAUUUAUACACUGAGUUCACCAUACUUGGGGCCAAGGUUUCUUCCAGAGUAUUCAGGAGAUGGUGUUCAAAGAAAUAUAUCUGCAUAUGAUUAAGAGCCUUCCACACAUUGUCAUCCACUGCAGCCUAACAAAAGACUCAUUUCCUAGGUCAGCCUCGGUGUGAGAAGCAAAGGGGUCUCCGAUGAUGGAGAUCAUAUGAAUUCUCUUUUAACAUCCCCACCCACUGUGAGAAGGAUCCAGGGGUUCUGAUAUCCUACUUCACAGAUCCAUCUAGAGGAAUAAAAAAUCA